rnacentral:rRNA from 1 species
UCGUAGAGGUGCUGCAUGGCUGUCGUCAGCUCGUGUCGUGAGAUGUUGGGUUAAGUCCCGCAACGAGCGCAACCCUUGUCCUCUGUUGCCAUCAGGUUAUGCUGGGCACUCUGAGGAGACUGCCGGUGAUAAACCGGAGGAAGGUGGGGAUGACGUCAAGUCAGCAUGGCCUUUAUGUCUGGGGCUACACACGUGCUACAAUGGCAGAUACAAACCGUCGCGAUGCCGCAAGGUGGAGCUAAUCGGAGAAAGUCUGUCUCAGUUCGGAUUGCAGGCUGCAACUCGCCUGCAUGAAGUUGGAAUCGCUAGUAAUCGCGGAUCAGCACGCCGCGGUGAAUACGUUCCCGGGCCUUGUACACACCGCCCGUCACAUCACGAAAGCUGGCUGUACUAGAAGUCGCCGCGCUAACCCGCAAGGGAGGCAAGCGCCUAAGGUAUGGUUAGUGAUUGGGGUGAAGUCGUAACAAGGUAACCAAGGG